rfam:Anopheles arabiensis strain DONG5_A unplaced genomic scaffold supercont1.601, whole genome shotgun sequence.
AACAGUAAAUUCUUGGCAACAGGGAAGGUUCCGAAGCCUCCAAGAAGGCUAACACAGGCUCUCCUAUCCAACUCCUAUCCUGACACGUCCUUUACGUGCCGAGUGGUAACAUGUGUCAUCAAAUAUCCAAGCUUGGGUACACGGGUCCAGUCCCAACCCCUUGGGCGGAUGAUGAUGCAUGCCAAAGCAGGAAGGG